rnacentral:lncRNA from 1 species
UAAGUUGUUGAUUUUUAAUAUUGGUGACUACUGCGGCAAGGAAAAACGUACGAAGUCCCAUCCAAUAAACAGAGAAGAUAAUAUCGCGAUCCAUUGAGAAAAGAAGGCCACGAUAAAGAAGAAUUUGUCAGUAUUCAAAAGCUGCUGAAAAAAUAUGGAAAAAGAACGAGUUCUUGGCAUACAAUGCUCACACGAGAAAUAUUCUAUUAAUUACAAAAAAAGGAUGCUAAAUGACAGCUGGGCCUUCAGUUUACAAAUUAUAAA